rnacentral:rRNA from 1 species
AGAACGAACGCUGGCGGCGCGCUUAACACAUGCAAGUCGCACGAGAAAGGGCUUCGGCCCGAGUAAAGUGGCGGACGGGUGAGUAAUGCAUGGAUAACCUGCCCUCGAGUGGGGGGAUAACCCCCGGGGAAACCGGGGCUAAUACCGCAUGACACGACGUGAGCCCUGGCUCGCGUCUUCAAAGCUGGCCUCUGUUACAUGCUGGCGCUCGUUGAGGGUCCACGUCCCAUUAGCUAGUUGGUGAGGUACGGCUCGACCAAGGCGACGAUGGGUAGCCGACCUGAGAGGGGUGAUCGGCCAACACGUGGGACUGAGACGACGGCCCAGACCUCCGUACGGGAGGCAGCAGGUGGGAAUUUUGCGCAAGUGGGACCGAAAGCCUAGACGCGACGCGGACCGCCGGCGGUGGGAGAGU